CACCACCUCACGGCAGCCAAGAGGUGGGGCCAGCUCUCCCACACCCUCAUCAUCAGGGCUGCCUCACCUGCGCUCUCUCAGCCAGGGCGAGCACUGCUGUGAGAGGUUCAGGGCCCUCUCAGGACUGCUUGCAGGCAUGAAACAGCUUUGGCCACCAAGCCAGGCAUCAAGCUAGGAUGAGAGAAGGCCUGCCAUCUGCUCUGCCCCUGACUGAUGUAACACCAGCAACAAGUUUCCAUAAUAAUCUGCAGCUGUUUGACCGUUGCAUGCAAGGAGUUUGAAGAUUGUUCGUUGUCCCCUGGAGCAGCUUCAGAACAAAAGCAAACAAUUUUCCACUCCCCAGAACCAGCCAAGGGCCACCUAUCAGUGGGAUUUUUAACAUUUCUUCAAUUAAGUUCUGGGCCUACAGAGCGAGUGAUGAAUAAGAAAGAGAGAGGGAGAAGGAGUGCCUGUCUCUUGAUCCUUCUAUAUUGGCGUGGAACACUGAGCACUUACAAAGCAGAUAACCUAACUCACAAGUGGCGUGCAGUGGGUGUCAGAAAAAUGACAAGGCAUUGAGAAUGGUUUAGUUUCGAGGAUGCAGCAGUCGUCAGCUCCACGCGUUUACUCUUCCCACAAAAGGACUUCCCAGCGCCUUCCCGACCUACCCCACCGAGAGGAGGGAGGACAGAUUCGCUUGCUAAGAUUGCAAAGGCCGGACCUGCCGCUGGCCUCACUGAGCUGUUUCUGAAGAUCGCCGCAGCUGUGACUCAUCCCUCCUACAGUCCGUUAACUUCCCACUCCUCUCACCAAACCAGCUACCCUCUCACUCUGACUCCUACGAGCCCACUUAUUUUCAAAUUUGCUCAAUAAACAUAACAUUCAACCCCAACCCGCUUUCGUGCACUGGAUGUUGAGAGAACACACAGCAAACAUCCAAGGCUCUCCAGAGGCGGAGUGAGCGAGGACUGCUUCCCUGGACUUCGGGGAAUGAGAAAUAAUUGCUAAUAAAUCACAAUGGCCAAGUUUGGGACACGGGCCAGCCUGCCCAGCUGAGUUGAGGGAAUGCAGCCAUUCUAAGCAGUCUACAGGAAGUUGCACCACAAACCGCAUGCGCACACAGCAGAGUGACUGGGAAUCUAACUAACCCUCUGCUGCCCCGGCUGAGCUGAGCCCGUAACGAUGGACUAAGCUGGCUUCCUGCCCCUCAAGAAGGGUGCUAAGACAUCACCUUUCCG